CGCCACGUUGCCGCCCAGCCUGCGUCGCUGCGCCGCCGCGUUCCUGGCCCACACCGACCAAUCCACCUCCGGUCGCAGCCACCUCGCCUAGCCGCGCCACCCUGUCCGCCGGCCAGCACUCCCCUCUCCCUCUUGAAUUGGCGGAGAAUUCUCUUUAGGCGACUUUUGAAAGUGUUAAAGUGGCCUAUCAGUUUGUUUACACAAGUCUCUAAGGAUCAAUAAGCGUUGCCCAUCUACAGGUUUGAAGAUGAUGCAUCAUUGGGAUCGGGAUUAGAGAGCUUGUAGUUCUAUUCGUUUAAUUAUGUGAUUUAAUUUGUUAACUUGGAUUUGAAAUUUGUCGUACUAUUCGUAUUUCUUUAAUUCAGUUAAUUGGUUUGGACCUAAUAUGUAAUAGAUUAUUUAUGAACCUAAAAGUUAGU